GACGGGAUCGCGCGCGGGGCCGGUGGGCGACUGUAAAACGGCGGGGGUUACUGUAAAAUGCAAAAUUAGUUAGCUACUCUAGAUGGGAGGUUUGAGUAGGCGUUUUAUUACGUGCUCUCUCUUUUAACCUUUGGUGUUGUCUCUGAGAUUUUCUUCGUUUCGGGGGUGUGGAGUGUACUCAGUCAGUCAGAUGUACUGUAAUUUCUAGCCGCAGGAAAUCAAUCAGUAAAAUGUUGUUCCUAGUGUUCAUCCUUGGUGAAAAUUGCCAUGUCUGCCAACCUCACGUGAACUAAAGUUGCCGUAAAAAAAACAUUCGGAUUGUCAUCCUUAAAAUCCGAACGUUCAGGAAUUUAGUAUUUUUGAUCAAGAACAACCGGCGGGAAACUUGACGGCGCACCCAUCUCAUCGGCGGCGAGCGCGCCGCCGUGUGCAUUGUACAAGUGCGGAGUGGUACAAGUUGCUCGGCCAGGGUGACAUGAAGAGGACGCAACAGCAUGUAAAGAGAGACGAGGGGGUACAAGAGAAAUGAGGACGGGGGUUGAAAGCCGGGAGGCGGUGGUGGGCGGAGACGGCGACGGCGACGGCGAGCGAUGGAUUUGACGGGGAUGCACACGCUUUGUCUGCUGCCGGCCCGCUAACAUGCGAGCUCCUUCUAAUCAUUACCGGCAUCAUAUCCCUGCGGAAUCAUUCCUCUUCCUUUCCCUCCCUCCAGCGCGCGAGGCCGCCACCACACACGUCAGCUCCAGCACACUCCAGUUACUCUACUUCAGUAAUCCCAGAUGAUGAUGAGUCAGAUCGAUCGGUCCAAGCAUGACACGUCUGCUUGGCCGGUCACGCACUCCUACUAAUUCGGGGGCGCGGAUCAGCGAAUCCGGGAAACAGGGCCGCAAUCCUGGCCCGUCGUACGGUCUGAAUCUUGCUAAUUAUGGCCGGCCAGGCCCGUCGUCCGUGGAUUGUUGCAGAAGCAAGAAACUUCGGCGUGUUGUAUGUGCUAGGAGCUAGGCCGAUCGAUCGAGGCUGGUCAUCAAACCCGUCGACGCAAAAUCACCGACGGCUCCAAAGAAGAGAGCCACGAUGGUUAGCAGCUUGUGGACUCCGGCCCUGUUUCCCGGGUUUUUCUUCCUCUUUGAGACGCCGGCGUUUUCGAAAGCGUGCCUGCCGCCGCUGAUUGAUUGCGCCGUCCUUGCUACGUUGGGCCGAUCGUGCGACCUCUUUAUGUCUGUACGACCGGCGUGCACGUACAGGGAUCCCCAUGUACCGCGCACUGUAGAUCCGUGUCACGCAAUAUCCGCGCACUGUAAAUCAGGAGCAACACAUUAACCGGCCACUGUUCGCUGGUGGUAGAAAGAAUCGGCACGAAACGCAGUGGGCGCCAUUAAGGAAGAAAUCAGCAGAGGAUCGAUGACACUGCUGCCGCUGCUCCCUCCAAAAACCAAGAUUUACGGCACGGGUAAAAUGAAAGAGUAGAUUGACGUGAUGCGAUGCGAUGUGAUCCACCAGCUGGCUUAAGUGCGACCAAAUCCUCUUCCGCCCGGGCCCCUCGCCAGCUGAUCCUCUCAUCUGGAUCACUCCCUCCAUGGUCCAUGCGUGGUGUAGCCGCGAGCAAUCAUCCGAUAGAAUUAUGCGCCAAAUCUCACUUUCUAUCCUGCCACUGAUAUGAGCUAAUCUCGACCGCGGAAAAGGCGAAAUGCUCUAUUAUUCUGGUGUUUUUCUUCCUCUUUGGCCGAGUUCCUUUCACCCUUUUCUGCCCCGGCUUGUGAGUGCCGUCAGUCAAAAAGAGAGGAGGGUUUAAAGCCUCUCUUGCGAUGAUCUCAACUGCGAGCCGACCUCAACGAGUGUUAAUUUAGUCUUGCUGCUUGUUCCAUCAACUUGAUUCCCAUACUUUCGGAGCAUGGCCGUGCUCGACUUGCCACUAAGCAAUAAAAUAAAAAUACCGUCCCGUAGUACGUGGACUAUACUGAUUUUCCUUCUUAAACUUACUGUAUUGAGACUGUAUUGGGCUUUUUUUUUUGAGGGAGAGACUGUAUUGGGCUUUACUACAUGGGAGCUUCAAUCUUUCUUUUCUUUGCUUUUCUUUUUCAAGGGCGAGUUGGACAGAGACAGUGCAUGGGCAUGCAGCAUUGGUUGUAAUUAAGUUUCUCCAAACAAGGAAAUAUACCAUGUCCAAUACAGUACUAGUACCUUAGGACUAGUGGCUGCAGGACUUUGCGUGCAGCCGGAAAGGAUGACAAAACCGCAGCCAGUAGCCGGAUCCCGGAUGGAUAUGGCGCGGACGAAAUCAUUUCAGAUGCGUAUGUGAAAGGAUUGAAAUGCCUUCUGGACCACGAGACCCAAAUUAUGUGUGCUGCUGGCCCAUGUAUCUUUGGAUACUCACGAAUUGUACGCGCCUAAUCACUCAGAUUACGACGCCCAUCGGAGGACCACCGAUAGAUCAGGUAGAGCCAAUGAUCUACACGCAGGAUGCACGCAUGGCGUACAAAAUAACCCACGCUGGCUGAUAUAUUUUCGGCCAACCAUUCAAAUUGUAGUGGCCGUCCAUGCAAAAAAAAAAAGAGAGAGAGUAGUGGCCAUGUCCUGUGCGUACCUUUCCGAUGAUGAUGCGGACGAUGAACCAUUCCAUUACACUCUCUCCGUCCCAUAAUAUAAGAAAAAUGUUCUUAUAUUAUGAGAAGAAGUAGCUAGCUAAAGACCCGGCCGUUCAAAUUGAUCAAAGAUCAAUGAUGGCGAUAGCUCCAAACCUCAUUUCGGCCACUUGGCUGACGGUUUAGCUGCCGAUUAAAUUACUUUCUCAACACAAAACCUGCGUAUAGGAAUUCGUUGGAACAUGAUGCAACCCGAUGAACAUACGUGUUGUUCGGUCGAUGUGUGGAACUGUAGGCUUAAUUCAUUUUGAUCUAAACAUCCAACCAUAGAUUGGUUCGUAACUGUAGACUUAAUUCAGACUGAGCACAAAGAAACUGUUGAUCGAUCCAAACCCAAAACCAUGUGCUUGGACACAUGGAUACCUAGCUCCGGCCGGCAAAGUUGAUUAGGAGUAGGAUUCGUCUAAACCAAUGUGUGGGCUAUUAUUGGCCUAUGGACCACAGCAUCAUUGUAGGCCGGUAAUUAAGCAUCCAGAAAAGAUAAAAGUCUGCACUGCACUGCAUGCACACACAUUCUACUCUAGUAUUAAUCUCCUGAAGCGUACGUACGGCGUCAUCUAUCUAGUCUCUCUCUCAAAACGGGCAGACUCCCGCAGCUACAUGCAGGGCCUGUCAGCAGGCUACAACACAUAGGGGGACAAAGAUCUUGAGAGCUGUUGAGCAAAGCAACUCGGGCCCCUACACAAAGGCUAGCUAUCACUGUAUUUUACCAGUAGACUAUAUCUCAAAAGAAGCUUAGGCCUGAUCUAGACCCUAAUAAUGUGAUGUGAGGUACUGGAGUACGCCAGGAGAUGGUAAUUAAGAAAAAGAAAUUUUUGGGCACUUGGAACUAAGAAAGAACAUACCAGUAGGAGUUUUAGGAGUGCUUAAAGGUGACGACGUGAUAAUAAAUUAACUAAAGAUCGAGGUUUUACUUGCCCAUCAGGAGUUGACCCUUGCUUUUUAGCUUCUCCAGCCACUAAUCAUGCAUGAUUACUGGUUAAUUAAUCAGUCCUAUGAUAACACUGUCCAGUAGCUCAAGCUUAAUAACUUGUUGUUGAUGGGGGAAAAGGAUGCAUGUUUGCUCAAAAGUAGAAGGCUAACAUAUUGCUCCUCUAGCAUAAACCUAAUACUAGCUAGCUCAUUCUUUUGAGUUUUGUUAUCGUUAUGUGGUGGGGCGGCGUGAGGUGGGUGGCAUCAUCUAAGCUAGAAAUGCAUAGAGAUACAAACCUAGAACACCUAAGACAAUUGUAUAAUUUAUCUGCAAAAUUUUGCAACUAACUCCGAUGUGCCUGCUCUGUCCUGAAAUCCACUAGCCUCGAUCGAAAAGGAUAAUGGAUCAAAAUCACUGUAGUGUCUUAAAGCUGCUUGACCUAGGGGCUCUCAAAUUUCUCAAAAGAAAGCUGACUUUUGUGAGUUUGACAAAAUGCACGCAUGUAGUGAGUGAACAGUGAUCGGAUGGGCAACUAUUUUCCCGCGUCGUUUUGUUGCACGCAUGCAGCGCGCCGGAACACUAACGUGGUCACCGUUAAGUUUUGAACAUAUGUGGAGGCAAAACAUAUGCAUGAAAACUAUAUUCAAAUACAAAUCCAACGGUAUAAUUUUCUAUGAUAUACAUUAACAUUUUAUUAGUUAAAUAUAUGAUCAAAAUUUGACAUAAAAUAUAAAGAAAACCAAUAAGCCUGGACGGAGGUAGUGGCAUCUAAGCUAGAAAUGCAUAGACAUACAAACCUACAACACCUAAGACACUUUUUUUUCUGAUAAAGACUGCUUUUUAUCGAUUCAUAAUGUAGCAUCGAGGGAUACAAUCAUAAUGAACACACAGACGACCUGUACAUCCUGAGGCCGGAUCGCACACUACACGUGGCAAACCGUCGGCCCCACCUGUCAUCCUAAGUAGUUUCCUAAAGCUGCUUGACCUAGGGGCUGUCAAAUGUCUGAAACGAAACCUGACUUUUGUGAGUUUGACAAAAUGCACGCAUGUAGCGAGUGAACAGUGAUUGGACGGGCAAUUAUUUUCCCGCGUCGUUUUGCUGCACGCAUGCAGCGCGCGGGAACACUAGCUACGAACGUGGUGGGCAGCAAGUUUUGAAAGCAUGUGGAGGCAAAGAUCUGUGCAUGGACCGUAGUCCGUAGAGACUUAAAUCUUCACAUGGACAGUACUGCCGUUUAUGUCUCCACGGACGUGCGUGCGUGCGUGCUCACUGUUCACAUGCAUGCAGGCCCACGAGACGAGAGCGUGCGCGCUAUGAGUGUGAGCGCGGGACAUGCUGGGUUUGACAUUUACACCAGCCGCCGCACACUGUUUUCGACUUCUUGUCAAAGAUCGGCGCACGCCGAGCAAACGUAUCGAGAGGAAAAUGAACUUGUAAAGAACAUUUGGAAAAGGAGCAGUGAUGAAUCAUUUGCGCGGGCCGCGCGUGCGUCCGGUAAGUCGGUAACAAGCAGCAACGAAUUCUAACUGUUAUCUCUCUUGAAUCGGAGAGGUGAAAAAAA
rnacentral:lncRNA from 1 species